ACCUGGCACUGCUCCCCUACAAUCCCCUCACCGCCACCCCACAGCCUUCCCCGGUGCUCAGGGCCCUUUUGAGUGCCCCCAGCCCUGUUCCCUCACACGACCCUAUUUCAGCCAUCAGCGCCGUGACCCCAGCCAGUUGGAGCUCUCUUCUCCACCACUGCCACCCCGCCGGCACCCAAGGGGCACCAAGGAACUGUCUCCGUCAGCAGGGGCCUGGAGCCGUGGCUGAGAGCAAAGCUGGAGCCUGCAGAGCUUGGGGAACGCUCACCAUCAGGACAGACAUUAACAGCCUUGCCCUGGCCUGGAUGAGAAGGAACACACACAAAAAAACAUGCCAUGGGAUCACAGGGGGCGUGAGGCCAGAUUGCCAGUCCCCCUGCCACAGUCACCCACAGGAGGAAGAGCCAGAGAGCUUGCAGGGAACCGCACCAAGCUCCAAAGGCUGGCAGGCAGGUAUGAGCUAAAUAGCCUCUUCAUGAGUCCUGUAGGUGUUCCUAGCAGUUAUCUGGGCAGCACUGCUAGGCUGGGUUAAGAAUCCCACAUUACAUUGAAAAAUACACACUCAGGAAGACCUCAGGUAAAUCGUAAGAAGCAUAAGGCUCUCCCAUGUUUCCACAAGAAUUACAGUGUUCCUCUAGCAGGGCCAGGGCCACUCUCUUGUCCUCGUUCCCACCUCCUGACCACAGCUGUGGCUUCACCCCAGAACCUGCAUCAUACUCAUUUGUCACCUUUGUUACCAAAAGUGCCAGUUUAAGUGCGAGCUCCUAAGGGACUGCAAGCAACCACAAGGUAAGAGAGGUGUCACACACCCAUGGGGUGGUGCAGACCAAAUCUCAUUGUUACAGCCUUUAAAAACAGGCUCAAAACCAUUUAAAACAGGCCAAGUGAUUGAAUAGGCUCAACCGAUAGAUUGAUUUAACUGCUCCCAGGAGUCUUGUGAAGUGUGACUCACUGCUAAUGAAUGGGGGUUAAGACCACAGAGCCAAAGGAAUUAUCAGUAAGGGAUAGUGCUGAGAAGUCCAGGUCCAGAAGGAAGAGUUUCUGAACAUCCUGUUGGUUUGCGUCUAGAUUUAAAUAUUACAGCAGUGAUAGCACUGCUGCUCCUUGCAGAGUAAACAGGCUCCAGGCAUUUUAGUGCAUCCAUGAGACUUGCUCAGAACAGCCCCAAGCAGAUGUAGGUGUACUUGAGUUCCAUCACUUGUGUCUCUAAGCAACAAAAACCUACUUUUUCUAAAAGGCACACUAUUGUUAACUGCAGUUACAGGCUUGACAUGAGGAACACCACGUGAAACUCAUCAAUCCAUCCGCAUUGGAUGGGAAGUCAGACCAGAUGAGUGCUACGGCCUUAGAAAAAAAAAUCUACUUACUGCUUACAUUGCUAAAAAGGCAAAUAACAAUGACUGCACAGUCAAGGUUGCUUUCAAACGUGUUUCUAGUCAUCCAACCAAACACAAGGCUUGAUGG
rnacentral:lncRNA from 1 species